AUGGACUCUCACUUACUCUUCUUGUCAGCAUCGGUUCAAAUGCAACGGGGAGGAGGUGGCUCAGCAUUGUCCCCUUCAGAUUUUAGUGUGACAUCACAGCAUGGCCCGGCAUUGGCAGUGACAGGGCUCGGAUGCAGCGAGAAGGCAAUGGCAGUAGCCGUGGGGGGACAUCCCAACACCCCUUACUCAGAAGCAACAGUACAAUUUCUUCUUACAUGGAAACAGAAGAGGAAAAGACAGCUCAAAUUCACAGAUAACCUUCUGUCUGCAGAGCCUGACACGUUGCAUUUCUCAGAAUUGUGAAGCUGGGUUUUUACAGCAAAUACACUGUUCAGUUGCACCCAACUUGAUCUUACCAUGAUUUCCUUCUCAUUCUUACCAGAAAGAAAGAAAGCUACUCAUCUACAGAGCAGUCAUUCUGACAACACUCCCCUUUAUAAAUCCUCCGGUGGCCCUCCCUGCUGACAGGACAGGAUAGUGUAGUGUAGGUAGUCUCUACACUACACACCUCUACAAAGCUAGACUUGAGUUUUGUCUGGCUCUUGCUCUCUCUCUCUCUAUCUUUGUUCCCUUCAGGAUGUAGCCUGGGUGCAUACUUGCCUUUUCCUUCUGCGCACAAUCCCCUCGAGGUUCCUUGUCCUGUACAUGCCAUUCCUUCCUAAAGGUUCUCAUUCUCCGUUAACUCAACCUGCACUUUAAAAGUCAAGUUGAAUAUUACCUACUCUGUACUUAAAAAAAAAAAAAAAAAAAAAAAACCUUUCUUCAGAAGGAGCAUAAAGGUUAAGAGUACAGAGUCCUCCUUAUAUUAAUAGUAGCUAUGUGACUUUCGAUAACUUACCUAACCCCUCUGUGCCUCAGUUUCUCACCUGCAGAAUAGUGACAAUAAGAACUCCUAUGCUUGACAGGGUGGUGUGAGGUUAUAAUGCAUAAAGCACCUUGGUGCUCUGCUUGCUUACACUAAUUAGUAUAAAGAGCUAUUAUCAUUAUAUGUUUACAAUAAACAAAACAUAUAAGAUAUGACCUAACAAAGGGAAAUUACGUUUAACAAAGAAAACAGCAGAGGGUUAAUAUUUUGAUUAUAGAAAGUUCUUGUAAGUUAAUAAAAAAACACACGAUGGCCCCCCAAACAACAACCUUUAUAAACAUACGCAUCAAAAAAAUUAAAAAGGUGAAAAAUCUGAAGAUAUUUCGACAGUGUUUUUCAUUCAUUUGCACACCAAGAGAUUAUUGAGCACCUGUUAUGUGCUAAGCCCUGCACUGCAUGCUGGAGAUCCAACAGUGAAUAAGACUUGCUUGGCCCUUGCUUUUGUGUAGUUUAUAAUAGAGCAGGGAAGGGAGGUAUUAAAUAAAUCAUUAGGUGAAUUUUUGAAGAUAUUUGUGAGAAGAAUUAGGGAGAAACGCAAGAAAGGACGAGAGAAUGGAACAUAGUGUAUAUAAUAUGUCCUAGUCAGGGGUCCCAGGAAGGCUUCCCUGGGGAGGUGGCAUUAAGGUGGAGACAUAAAGAAUGUGGAGCACUCAGCAGGUAAGGAGGUGGGCUAGGAUCAAGAUGAGCGUUCUGGGCAGAGGGACACAUGUGUUUGCAAAGGCCCAACUGGCAUGGAACUUCCACCUUCCAGGAAGUGGGAAGGGACAUUGAGUAGAUAAGGGUCAAGAUCAAGCAAGAGCUUGGGGCAAAGCCCUGCCAUGCAUGGGGAGCUCCAUGAGGACUAUUACCCUCAUACUAGGGGAACAAGAAGAAUUUCAGAGUUUCAAUCAAGAAAAAGGGGAUCAGACUUGCUUUCAAAGCCAUCAUUUCUGACACAACAUGUAGAAUAAAUUGGAAGGAGACAAGCAUAGAUGCUUGAAGUCUGGCUAGCUGGUGCUUUCAACAAUCCAAGCCAUAAGUACCUACGCAUGGACAAGGACAGUGUUAGCAGACUGAGGGAGCCAAGGGCUUCUGAGUUACCUGUUCAAGAUAGCCAAUAGACACCUCUAACAGAUGAGUCCUAAAAUGGCUCAUGACCUCCUGGCAUGAAAAUGAGGUAGAUGGGAUGGGGGUGGGGAGUUAAAGUAAACAUACUGAUUCAGAGGGCACUGAAUCUUCUGGAAUUUAAAAAUCAUUCAUAUGUUCUCAGAUCCCCAUAGUGUGUGACACUCACUCUGGCACACAAUCUCAAUCCAGAUGGAGGAUCUAGCUCCUCUAGAGGUGAGGUUUGAAGGAGUGCUCUGGGGGAUGCAUAGGACAGAGCAGAGAUAAGCAGAGAUAAGACCUGGGGUCUAGGCUGAUGUUCACAAGAGAAGGUGGGGCAGGCGGGCCGACUUUGACGUUGAAGCCUGCAAAUAAAAUCUGAAACGUAUAAGUGGAUGAGAUUCUCCCAGAAAUGGAGUGUGGGAGAAGCAGUCCCCAUCUGAGCCUUGGGCAGCCCCAGAGCCUGGCAGGAUAGGAGGCAGAGGCACCACAGGUCCAAGAAACACAGCUUCUCACUGGUCAAGUCAUCAAAGAUUUUUAAAGACACGUCAAUAGUCCAUACAGACAAGCAUGCAGAGAUGAAUGGCUCCAUAUAUGGCUUAUGAUAGAAUCAUUUGCCAUAGCUUUUUCUGGUGCUAAUUGACAAUAUGCUUAAAGUUUAAAACUAUUUAUUUAUACUCUUUGAUCCAGAGACAUUGGGAUUAUGUACAAGAAUGCCUUCUACAUUAGUUACAAUACUGAAACAUUCAAGUCAAUCUGCAUUACCAAUAACAUAGAAAUGGUUUUAAAUUUAUAAAAUAUUCAUAAGCCGAAAUAUUGUUCAGUCUUUAAAAACCAUGGCAAAAAUGCUAACCAUGUCCGUUAAAAAUAGGGAUUUGAUAAAGCCGGGCAUAGAGUGUAUUUGCUCCAUGUUUCCCUCUCUAGGUAAGAUGAAAAUGAAAUGCCUCUAAAAUGUUAAGAGCAGUUAUCUCUUCAAAGGAAAACAAAACGAGGAAGGUUUUCAACCACACUUUCCAUUUUUAUGGAGUUAAUCUGAAAAUUCAAUUUCCCUAGCACAGACCAUUCCCAAACAUUCCAGAUUUUACUGUAAAUGAGAAGUACUUACUGUGCCCUACUGAAAAACUUUCCACACACUGCUGUGGCCAAACCGUAUGAAAUAAUUUAUUUUCAGAGACGUUUAGAUUGUACAACUCCAAGAACCUAGUGUUGGGGAAGCAUUCAGGGUUGCUAUUUCAUAUCAACUUGAGGCUUCAUUUAGUUGAGUUCUAUUUCACUCGAGUGAAAUGCAUGCUAAUAUAAAGCAGGUUUCCUGCCCAAUGCCUUUGCUCAGGCAGGUCCUUUACCUCAAAUUCCUUUCCUGUGCCCCCGUGUGUGGCAAACUCCUAUUCAUCCCCCAAGGCCCAGCUCAGAUAUCACCUCCUUCAGCUUCCAGGGAGAGUUCCUCUUCCUCCUUUCUUCUGCCUUUUGCAAGUUGUUUACACUUCAUGAUAACAUUUAAGUGUUGCUGCAGCACUGUGUUUGAGACUUCUGAUUCUCCUUAAACCAGGCUUAAUGGUAAUUCCUCUUUUAACCCUCAUGCUAGCACAAGUCCGACCACAUGGUAGGGACUUUAUGUCUGAGAGAAGGACCAGGAGGACAAAGGUGUCAUACAAGUGAACUCCCAAAUGUCCAGAUUUAGUAACUGUUAAAACCUAAAGACAUGAGAACUGAUGCUGCAGGUCAGAGGGGAGGCCAGUCCAAAGCUAGGCGCCUCAGAAGGAGAGGGGUACAAAUACACCACUGACUUGAAUCACCAAAGUAGAAAUGAAGGUUUAGACUUCCUAUUUUGUGCCAUAGCUCAAAGAAUAUCCUACAGGAUCCUGCCUUGUAGAGAAAAUGGGUUUUAUAGUUUUCACACUGAUGAAAUUGAGAAGCACAAGAGGCAUCAAUAUAUUCGAUUUAGCCUAACAAAUUAAUUUCUACAGUUUCAUGUGCUGUGAGGCUUCAAGCAUACUGGCCAUCAUAUAUAAAAGGCUCUAAGAUCCUUUUCAGCAAUAGCUCUCUGUUUGCUUCCUUAGAACUGGAGUCUCUGAUGUUUUGUGAGUCAAGAAUCCAAGAGCAAGGAAGAAAUAGAAGUAUUCAAAUUGAAUUUCCACUUCAUCCUUUUCAAUGUUUAUAUGUUGUGCAUAUUUUCAAAUGUACAUAGUGUAUUAAUGCAGGACGAUACGUGUAUGCGUCGUGCCUGUAGGUCCCAAAGUGUCCGUGUCUGUGUGUGUUUGUGUGUGUAGAGGGAGGCUGUAUAUUUUUCAGUCUGUUACUUUAGAUGAGUGCUUAUCAAAUCUUAAUAUGCAGACAGAUUCCCUGGGGUUCCUGCUAAAAUGCAGAUUCUGAUUCAGAAGUUCUGGGCUGAGGUCUGAGAAUUUGCAUUUCUAACAAGCUCCCCAGCGAUGAGGCAGCUACACUUGGGGAUGCAAUUAGCAUUUUGCAACCACAAUUCCUCAUCUGAAUGGCACAACAGAACACAGAAAAUGGUUGGGGUGACUCUGUCGUCUUUCAUGGACGGCCAUCCCCAGCUGUGGGAGCCAGUAAGGCUGAUUUCUCUCACAGAACUGUUGCAAA
rnacentral:lncRNA from 1 species